AAUGCAUAGGAAAUUGCCUUGAAGUGGGGGAUAGCCCGGAGAAAUCCGGAUUAAUACCGCAUAUGCUCUACGGAGCAAAGUGGGCCUCUGAUUUAAGCUCAUGCUUUGAGAUAUGCCUAUGUCGGAUUAGCUUGUUGGCGGGGUAAAAGCCUACCAAGGCGACGAUCCGUAGCUGGUUUGAGAGGAGGAUCAGCCACACUGGGACUGAGACACGGCCCAG
rnacentral:rRNA from 1 species